GUGGUAAUACCGGAUGCUCCGCUCCAUCGCAUGGUGGGGUGGGAAAUGCUUUUGCGGCAUGGGAUGGGGUCGCGUCCUAUCAGCUUGUUGGCGGGGUGAUGGCCCACCAAGGCGUUGACGGGUAGCCGGCCUGAGAGGGUGACCGGCCACAUUGGGACUGAGAUACGGCCCAGACUCCUACGGGAGGCAGCAGUGGGGAAUAUUGCACAAUGGGCGCAAGCCUGAUGCAGCGACGCCGCGUGCGGGAUGGAGGCCUUCGGGUUGUAAACCGCUUUUGUUCAAGGGCAAGGCACGGUUUCGGCCGUGUUGAGUGGAUUGUUCGAAUAAGCACCGGCUAACUACGUGCCAGCAGCCGCGGUAAUACGUAGGGUGCGAGCGUUAUCCGGAUUUAUUGGGCGUAAAGGGCUCGUAGGCGGUUCGUCGCGUCCGGUGUGAAAGUCCAUCGCCUAACGGUGGAUCUGCGCCGGGUACGGGCGGGCUGGAGUGCGGUAGGGGAGACUGGAAUUCCCGGUGUAACGGUGGAAUGUGUAGAUAUCG
rnacentral:rRNA from 1 species